GGUCAGCAGAGCCGCAGAAACACAGUGCUGACUCGCGGGGCCCUCGGCAGUUCUGUAGCUGGCAUUCAGUGCUCUACGCUACCUGCAGAGAGCUGGCCCAUCCAUCUCCCACAUGUCAUCCUCUCCGCCCCCUUUGUGACACCACCACCAGACUCCAGGGCACAUCAAAGUUGCCUCUGGGCCUCAUGUCAUCUCUUUUGCCCGGAGUGCCUCUUCCUGCCUAUGUUCCUGGGAAGUUCCUCCUCACCCUUCAAGCCCAGCUUCUGUUUCCCCCUCCAGGAAGCCCUUCCUGACCUCUGGAGCUCGUCACUCUCUCCAGCGAUUUCCCUCUGCGUAGAGGCAGUGUCAUGCAACAGUGAAGACAAGACUGCCUAGUGAGCCCUGGUUCUGUCACUUACUAUCUUAGCAGUCUUGUGUACAAGGAGCUCACAUGAGGAAAGGAAGAACAUGUAUGGAGAGGAACGAGGUUGUAGACCAAGUGACCUGUGGAGCAAGUCUUUUAAACCCUCAGAGCUGCUGUUCCCUCUAUUAUGAAACAGGAGCAAUCAUAUUGCUCUAAGAGGAAAUUCUCUGAAGUUCCUUGAGGUCAAGGACAGCAUCUUUCCACAUUCAUAUCUCCAGGACUCAACACUGAGACAGGCAUAGGAGUCACCAGAGGGAGGGGAAGAAGGAGAAAGAAUCUGAAGCAUACUCCACGCCGAGCAUGGAGCCUGAUCCAGGGCUCGAACCAAUCACCCUGAGAUGAUGGCCUGAGCCAAAAUCAACCGACAAAGCCAUCCAGAUGCCCCUAAAUCAGAUGCUUUUUAACAGCUAUUUGUAAGACAUAUUUAUCCACCAUACCAGGCUAUGUACUAGGAGCUGGUAACACAGCAGUGAUUGGGACAGAGAAGAUCCCAGCUGUUUUAGAACUUGGUUCCUAGCAAUUUUCUUUCUUUUUUUAAACAAACGUAUUAUUUAUAUAUUUAUCCUCUUAACUGGUUAAUUCCCACUGGAUAAUCACAAGCUGCUUGUAUGUGAUGCCCCAAAUAAGCAUAACAUGUAGCAAUUUGUAAUUUUGCUAAUAUGGUGGCAAAGGGGCAUGUACAUGAUGGCACAUCUGUGUUUGUGACCCUGUAUUCUGCUUCUCCUUUUGAACACUGCAAUGCUCAGGAAAAGAUAAACACUUGAUCUUCAUGCAACCUUACUGCUUUGGUUCUACAGACCAGUAAAAACAUGGUUCAUAACAACACAAUAACGAGGCAGAAAAG